rnacentral:rRNA from 1 species
AGUGGAUGGGGAGCAACCUAGUUGUGCGUGUGCAAAGGUAGUGCCAAGAAAAGCGGUGAUCAUGAUGAAAAUCAAUUCCCGGUACCCGAAACCGACACAGGUGGGCAAGUAGAGAAUACUAAGGGGCGCGAGGUAACUCUCUCCAAGGAACUCGGCAAAAUGACCCCGUAACUUAGGGAGAAGGGGUGCCACCGAGAGGUGGUCGCAGUGAAGAGGCCCAGGCGACUGUUUAGCAAAAACAUAGGUCUCUGCAAACUCGAAAGAGGAGGUAUAGGGGCUGACGCCUGCCCAGUGCCGGAAGGUUAAAGAAGUUGGUCAGUCUUAGGAUGAAGCUAGCGACUGAAGCCCCGGUGAACGGCGGCCGUAACUAUAACGGUCCUAAGGUAGCGAAAUUCCUUGUCGGGUAAGUUCCGACCCGCAUGAAAGGCGUAACGAUCUGGGCGCUGUCUCGGAGAGAGGCUCGGCGAAAUAGGAUUGUCUGUGAAGAUACGGACUACCUGCAUUUGGACAGAAAGACCCUAUGAAGCUUUACUAUAGCUUGGAAUUGUGUUCGGGCUUCCUGUGCGCAGGAUAGGUGGGAGGCGUAGAAGGUAUUCUUGUGGGGAUACUGGAGCCAACGGUGAGAUACCACUCUCAGGAGGCUAGAAUUCUAACUUAAUUAAGGACAGUUUCAGGUGGGUAGUUUGACUGGGGCGGUCGCCUCCAAAAAGGUAACGGAGGCGUACAAAGGUUCCCUCAGACUGGUUGGAAAUCAGUCGAAGAGUGCAAAGGCAGAAGGGAGCUUGACUGCGAGAAGUACAGUUCGAGCAGGGUGGAAACACGGUCUUAGUGAUCCGACGGUGCUGUGUGGAAGGCCGUCGCUCAACGGAUAAAAGUUACUCUAAGGAUAACAGGCUGAUCUCCCCCAAGAGUUCACAUCGACGGGGAGGUUUGGCACCUCGAUGUCGGCUCAUCGCAACCUGGGGCGGAAGUACGUCCCAAGGGUUGGGCUGUUCGCCCAUUAAAGCGGUACGUGAGCUGGGUUCAGAACGUCGUGAGACAGUUCGGUCCAUAUCCGAUGUAGGCGUGAGAAUAUUGAGAGGAGCCUUCCUUAGUACGAGAGGACCGGGAAGGACGCACCGCUGGUGUACCUGUUAUGAUGCCAAUUGUAAACGCAGGGUAGCCAAGUGCGGAGAGGAUAACCGCUGAAAGCAUCUAAGUGGGAAGCCCACCUCAAGAUGAGUAUUCUGGUGUAAGGUCACGGGAAGACGACCCGUAAAUAGGCACGAGGUGGAAGUGCAGAGAUGUAUGAAGCCGAAGUGUACUAAUAGACCGUCGGCUUGACC